rnacentral:rRNA from 1 species
AGAGUUUGAUCAUGGCUCAGGAUGAACGCUGGCGGUCUGCUUAACACAUGCAAGUCGAACGGAACUUUUCGGAGUUCAGUGGCGGACGGGUGAGUAACGCGUGAGAAUCUGCCUUCUGGUCGGGGACAACCACUGGAAACGGUGGCUAAUACCGGAUGAGCCUACGGGUAAAAGAUUUAUUGCCAGAAGAGGAGCUCGCGUCUGAUUAGCUAGUUGGUGAGGUAAAGGCUCACCAAGGCAUCGAUCAGUAGCUGGUCUGAGAGGAUGACCAGCCACACUGGGACUGAGACACUGCCCAGACUCCUACGGGGGGCUGCAGUAACGAAUCUUCCGCAAUGCACGCAAGUGUGACGGAGCGACGCCGCGUGUGGGACGAAGUUCUUCGGAAUGUAAACCACUGUCAGGGGCCACCAAGUUCUGAGGGGCCCCAGAGGAAGGCACGGCUAACUCUGUGCCAGCAGCCGCGGUAAUACAGAGGUGCCGAGCGUUAGGCGGAAUCACUGGGCUUAAAGCGUGUGUAGGCGGACCGGUAAGUGCCUUGUGAAAUCCUGCGGCUCAACCGCAGAACGGCUGGGCAUACUGUCGGUCUUGAGCAGCUUAGGGGCAGACGGAACAAGUGGUGGAGCGGUGAAAUGCGUAGAUAUCACUUGGAACGCCGACGGUGAAAACAGUCUGCUGGGAGCUUGCUGACGCUGAGACACGAAAGCCAGGGGAGCGAACGGGAUUAGAUACCCCAGUAGUCC